rnacentral:rRNA from 1 species
UCCGGUGGUCUUAGCGAGGGGGAAACACCCGUUCCCAUUCCGAACACGGCAGUUAAGCCCCUCAGCGCCGAUGGUACUGCACAGUAGACUGUGUGGGAGAGUAGGUCGCCGCCGGGA